AUAGUAAUGCUUCCUGAGACCCACUUGACUUCGCAUUCCAGGAUGUCUGGCUCUAGGUGGAUCUUUACCACUGGACCACCCGGGAAGUCCAUUUCUACCUUUCUUGAGAGAAGAGUUUCAGAAAUUGAAGGAAGAGGGACUCCCAGUGGCUGCACCAUUCAACAUGUCCUCCAUUAUCUCAAACAAAUUAGCUGGCAAAAUCAACAAGAAAACAGGUUCUAGAUGAACUAACCAAGUAACAUCUGAGUCUACUGUCUCCUCACCCUGAGCACACUCAUGACACGUCACUUCUGUGAAUAUGAAAAAUGUACGCAGAACAAUUCAUAGAAAGAAAAUUCCGAAUGACUAACAAAUAGCUGAUAAAAACCAGUCAGUCCUAAAGGAGAUCAAUCCUGAAUAUUUAUUGGAAGGACUGAUACUGAAUCUGAAGCUCCAAUACUUUGGCCGCCUGAUGCGAAGAACUGACUCACUGGAAAAGACCCUGAUGCU